GAUGAACGCUGGCGGCGUGCCUAAUACAUGCAAGUCGAGCGAACGGACGAGAAGCUUGCUUCUCUGAUGUUAGCGGCGGACGGGUGAGUAACACGUGGAUAACCUACCUAUAAGACUGGGAUAACUUCGGGGAACCGGAGCUCAUACCGGAUAAUAUUUUGAACCGCAUGGUUCAAAAGUGAAAGACGGUCUUGCUGUCACUUAUAGAUGGAUCCGCGCUGCAUUAGCUAGUUGGUAAGGUAACGGCUUACCAAGGCAACGAUGCAUAGCCGACCUGAGAGGGUGAUCGGCCACACUGGAACUGAGACACGGUCCAGACUCCUACGGGAGGCAGCAGUAGGGAAUCUUCCGCAAUGGGCGAAAGCCUGACGGAGCAACGCCGCGUGAGUGAUGAAGGUCUUCGGAUCGUAAAACUCUGUUAUUAGGGAAGAACAUAUGUGUAAGUAACUGUGCACAUCUUGACGGUACCUAAUCAGAAAGCCACGGCUAACUACGUG
rnacentral:rRNA from 1 species